AGCGAACGCUGGCGGCAGGCCUAACACAUGCAAGUCGAGCGCCCCGCAAGGGGAGCGGCAGACGGGAGAGUAACACGUGGGAACGUACCCUUCGGUUCGGAACAACCCAGGGAAACUUGGGCUAAUACCGGAUACGUCCGAAAGGAGAAAGAUUUAUCGCCGAGGGAUCGGCCCGCGUCUGAUUAGCUAGUUGGUGGGGUAACGGCCCUCCAAGGCGACGAUCAGUAGCUGGUCUGAGAGGAUGAUCAGCCUCACUGGGACUGAGACACGGCCCAGACUCCUACGGGAGGCAGCAGUGGGGAAUAUUGGACAAUGGGCGCAAGCCUGAUCCAGCCAUGCCGCGUGGGUGAUGAAGGCCCCAGGGUUGUAAAGCCCUUUCGGGGGGGAAGAUAAUGACGGUACCCGCAGAAGAAGCCCCGGCUAACUUCGUGCCAGCCGCCGCGGUAACAC
rnacentral:rRNA from 1 species